AUUGAACGCUGGCGGCAGGCCUAACACAUGCAAGUCGAACGAGUGGCGGACGGGUGAGUAAUGUCUGGGAAACUGCCUGAUGGAGGGGGAUAACUACUGGAAACGGUAGCUAAUACCGCAUACCAUCAGAUGUGCCCAGGUGGGAUUAGCUUGUUGGUUGGGUAACGGCUCACCAAGGCGACGACCCCUAGCGGGUCUGAGAGGAUGAGCAGCCACACUGGGCCUGCGACACGGUCCAGACUCCUACGGGAGGCUGCAGUCGGGAAUAUUGCACAAUGGGCGCAAGCCCGAUGCAGCCAUGCCGCGUGGAUGAAGAAGGCCUUCGGGUUGUAAAGUACUUUCCGCGUGUAGCCGUUACCCGCAGAAGAAGCACCGGCUAACUCCGUGCCAGCAGCCGCGGUAAUUC
rnacentral:rRNA from 1 species